CUUGGAGUUUCCUUGCUUGUGGAGUUUUCACGCAAUCUUUGGAAACGGUUAUGGGGGAAUAAGAGACACCCCAUGUCACAGCGGAUUAGUUAAUAACAAAGUGAAAUAUGUUUAUCUCAAAUGGUUGUACAAGAAGCCUCCACUUGGCUUUACAAAGGAAGACUCAUGGACAAGGAAUGCAGAGAAGAACUGGAUGAUGACGUGGAGGAGUCUGUUACAAUAAAUGGAGCUAGAAGAUAGCUGAACGAUACCUGAGAGAAAAAGGAAGUUGAGCUAAAUGAGUAACUAAGGCAUUUUGUUGAAUAUUCUUACAUCCUAGCACAGUACUUACUUGAGUGAAGAAAUCUGCAAAGCUCCACUGCCCAAACACAGCUUUGCCAUCUCUAAGUCAGUAGUUGCCCAUAGCAACAUGCUCAGGAGUACUUCUGUCUAAGGCUCUUUCUUGUUUGAUGUGCACCAAGGCCCUUCUGAGGACCUGAAUUAUGGAAUUACAUUUUUGAAUGUGUGUGACACAACAGAAUGCAUUACAAUUAUGUAGUUCAGAACUUGGCACCAGUGCCUGCUCUUUUUCCAAAGUCAAGUGUAAAGUCUUAGGCCCUAUUAAUGAAAAAUCCAUUCCAUGGCUGGGUUGCAGAAAAAGGCAGGCCUCAAAUUAUGAGCAGGAUCUGUUAUAAAAGCCAUGUGUUCAUAUAAAAAUAUGAUGGAAUAUGGGCACAGAAAAUUACAUGGGGAUUUCACUAGUUGCAAAGGGAUUCCUGGUAUGCACAUAAAUUUAUAUAUUGUACUUAAAGACACAAUGCAAAGGGUCAGGAGGCUGUAAAUAUGUUUCCUUGCUGCAUAAAGUAGGGAGAUAAACAAUGACAUGUCAAAAUCCCUGAAACUCAAGGCUUAGGCCAAACUACAGCUUGAAGUAGGCAUGCGGACAGCGGAAUGUAACUGCCAAUGCAUGGCCAGUAAAACUAAUUAUGAAAGAUAAAGUGCAUGAUACUUACCAAGACUUGCUUUUUAUGCAAGUAUGUUGCUUUUUUAAGAGUAAAUCCAAUCACCCUUUUUUAAUAUACCAGUCACUCCUUGAACAAACUGAAGUCUGUUAAUAGUUUAUAUAUUUUACAUAUAUGUACAUUUGAUGUAGGGCAUAGGUGAUUACACUGAUUACAUUUCGAAAGACAGUUAUGCAGUCCUAAAAUAUGAAUGUGUAAUAGAACUAAGGAAAUAAUAUUCUCCAUUUUCCCAAUCUUGACAUACUCACUGAGUAUGAAAUUUAACAUUCUCACUUUAAUGUUGUCACUUAUUUAUCAUAGUUCUGGAAAAGUUUCCAUCAGAAAACAUUGCUGCA